ensembl:lncRNA
GACUAGUUGAGAACACCUUUAUUUAACCAGGUAGGACUAGUUGAGAACACCUUUAUUGAACCAGGUAGGCUAGUUGAGAACACCUUUAUUGAACCAGGUAGGCUAGUUGAGAACACCUUUAUUGAACCAGGUAGGCUAGUUGAGAACACCUUUAUUUAACCAGGUAGGUUAGUUGAGAACAAGUUCUCAUUUACAAGAGCGACCUGGCCAAGAUAAAGUAAAGCAGUGUGACACAGACAACAACACCUGGGAGAAAUAUCAAGACUAGCCUGGUCCCAGAUCUGUUUGUGCUGUAACGUUAACUCAUUGUCAUUUACAAACAAUGUAGAAACAGACUGGUAAACCAAACUAUCACCAGAAUACCUUAAAAAACUAAAACACAAACAGAUUCUAGUACAGUACCUUCGAAAUGACUUAACAUGUAAAAAAAAUAAAAAACACAUUACUGUAAGACGACAAUACAGUAUAUCGUUCCGUUUAGGACAUGUCUGUUCUCCAACAUACUUUCAUAUCAGUCAAUUGGCUCAAAAAAGGACUUCUUGGUAAGGACUUCUCUGGUCCAACAGCAUACACUAGUAAAGGCAAUAGGACACCAUCUAGUAAAGCACUUCUCUAAAACCAGGCAGAUUCAGCCCACAAAGGAAAGGUGAAUAUACCGUAUGUUUGGGUAGUUUAAAGGUCACAUGUCUAAACUAAUCGAAGGGUACAUUUUUAAAAAUGUAUAUCCAUCCAUGGGUUAAUGAUUGGGUGUAAGAUAAAAAAAUAAAAACAUCCUACCUUAUUAGAAUAUCUGGCACAAAAAAUAUUUAUUAGAAUCCAUUUGUACGUUUUAAUUAAGUAAUAAAAUUGUAUUUCAAGUAGAAAGUAAUUUGGGAGCCCUGAGAAUUGACUGUGAGUUGGGUAAUACGUUAGUUAUUCAAUAAGUAGCAUGCUUGGCUGCUAGCAUGCUUGGCUGCUAGCAUGCUUGGCUGCUAGCAUGCUUGGCUGCUAGCAUGCUUGGCUGCUAGCAUGCUUGGC